GUUCACAUUUUACCUCCUGUCAUGUGUCUUUGCUAUUCUUUUGUCACCAGCGAAGAAGCCCCUCGGUUAAUACGUUAACUAUUCUAGGGUCGAGCAGCAAUGGAGUAACUGUGUCACUAUUCAUUUAGGAGGUUGAACUGUACUGUACUCAAAUUACUGUAUGGAUAUUGUUUCUUAUUUAUUAUUUUUUAAACUUAUUUUAGGUAUGUGUGUUUAGGAAAACUGCACUGUAUCUCAGGACAGAAAACAAAUUGGGACAGAACAUUUCCAUGUGUAUGUGUGUAAUAAAUACUUAAAUAUGCUGUAUGCAGACACAUCAGCAACUUUUUUUUUCUUUUUUUCCCUAGCAGUAGCAGCGGGACACCAAGCAGCAACAAGCUGCUUUUUGAAUGAACUGUGACAAGGUGGUGGUCUUUUCCCCCCUCCCUCUGUCGUCUAUCUUCCGGGAACGCUAAUAGGCUCCAUGCAGAGUAAUGUGACCAAUCGAAUCAUCCUCGGCCCGGAGCUGGAAGUUGCAGAUCAGCAGGGCAGAGAGCAUCGCGCUCACUACAGCUGCAGCAUAAAAGGGAAAAAAAAAAACUCAGCGGUGACACGAACAGUGUUUGUCUCAGGACAGGGAUUUUACAGGGAUUUUACACCCUGUCCUGCCAAAAGGAACUACCAUUUGCAGCAUUUCAAUUGGUUUUGUCCACUUUUUCCACUUGGCAGACCUCAGACCAGCUCAUUGGUGAAAAGGUCAGAGGGCCCCUCUGUAACCCUGACUGCUGAUUGAGGAUCUGUAAAGAUGACAACCAAAUCCAAUAGUGGUGUUCUGGAUGGCAAGGCAUCCUCCUCCCCUCUUCUGUCGUCACCAAACCGGCAGCGUCUGGUCACCAAAGACGGACACUGCACCCUUCGUCCCCCGCUUUGUCCCUCUGGCUCAUGGCUCGCAGCAUCGAGCCGGGCUUGGCUGUUAGCCCUGCAUGACAUGUGGGGACAGUUAGUUGGUCUGCGCUGGAGAUGGGUCCUGUUGGCCUUCUGUGCAUCCUUUGUGGCUCACUGGCUGCUGUUUGCUUGCCUUUGGUACUUGCUGGCUCACAUCAAUGGAGACCUAGAUGUUCUGGAUCACGACGCCCCCCCAGAGGGGCAUGUGGUUUGUGUGAAGCACAUUACCAGCUUCACCGCCGCCUUCUCCUUUUCCCUCGAGACACAGCUCACCAUCGGCUAUGGCACCAUGUUCCCCAGUGGAGACUGUCCUAGUGCCAUAGCACUGCUGGCUGUGCAGAUGCUGCUGGGGCUCAUGCUGGAGGCAUUCAUCACAGGUGCAUUUGUGGCCAAGAUCUCAAGACCUCAGAAGCGAGCCGGAGCCAUCCAGUUCAGCCACUUAGGCGUGGUGGGCCUGCACCAGGGCCAAACUUGUCUCAUGUUACGAGCCACGAACCUGCUACGGCGCCCUCUGGUCGAUGUGAAAGUGAGUGCUGUGCUCUAUGAGGAGCAUGAAGGCCAACCCUUGCACCAAACCUCUCUGGACUUCUAUGUGGAUCAUCUGGGCCAACAUCCCUGCCCCUUCUUCGUCUUCCCACUCACCUUUUACCAUCCCCUGGACCGCCGUAGCCCCCUCUACCCCGCCCUGCGUGAAGGCACGUCCAAGCACUUUGAGCUGGUGGUGUUCCUGUCAGCCUCGCAGGAAGGAACAGGUGACACCUGCCAGAAGAGGACCUCCUACCUGCGCCAGGAGAUCCAGUUUGACCGUUGCUUUGUACCCGCCUUGGGGAUGGAUGCCUGUGGAAGAUCAACGGUGAUGGCAGCGACAGGAUGGAGUGAAGAUACUGGAGAGGAGGUUACACUGGGACAAAGGGCAGUUUCUGAGCAGAAUGGAUUUCCAUCCUUAGUUCCAGUACCAGCCUUCCUCUACCCAGCUGACUUUGCAGUCCUCAAAGGAGUCCUCCAGGCGAGCCCGAGCCAAUAGGUACUGUAGGACGAUGCCAAAAUGUUCGUCAUCAUUGUACAUUGAUAUCACGUUUUACAUUAUUUCAUUAUAAUGGCACAUUGAAUUACACCGGGAUCUAAUUCGAAGUCAUCAUCGUAAGUCUGCGGCUUCGGUCACGGCCUGCAAAAUGGUGGAUCAGGUGACGGCGGACGCCAAGGCUCGUGUGGUCCAGGGCGGCGGGACCCCGGGUGCUGACAGCUGGUGCUCAAUGAGUGUGAGCUCCAGUUUGAUCAGUACCAGGGCCAGACCUUCACGUGGCUGCUGAGCAACGACGUAGACUACGCCUGGCCUCUCGCCAGAAGGAACGGGACGGCGGAGACACAUCGCAGUUGCCCCUCGCUCGAAAGAAAGACGCCCUGGUAUCCUACUCCUGACUGUUUCCGGACAUCUCCCUGGCCGGCCGGAACCGCGUAUCCUACUCCUGUCUGUUUCCGGACAUCUCCCUGGCCGGCCGGAACCGCACGACGCUCAGGCGCGCUGGCAAUCAGGGACAUUGAUGACAGGCUGCUGGAUUUCGGGGAGUACCGUCAGGAGACCUAUCGCUUCCUUUAUGAGUCUCCCAGCGAGGAGCAUCAAUUGUAAGUUGUUUUAUUGCCUGUGAAAAUUUAAAUGAAAUUGUCCUAUCCUAUAUACGUGGCAUGGAUGAGGAAGACCGAGGUGUUCCAGGGCUCGCGGAUGCACUCCUUCAAACAGUACAUCCUGGGCCGAGACAGACAGCCCAAGUACUAAGCAGGAGAGGGUGAGCUGUCUGAGCAGCAGCUAAUGUCAGCCGUCGUGGAAGUAGUCUCAGCUGUCUUAGGAACCGUCAGCGUCCGCUUCUUCCAUAGAUGCACUCGCCAGAGAGCUGACAGCUGGUAGCAGAAAGUCGACCUACGACACAAAAGUGCUGCCGAAGGGCUGGCUCCAAAUUUUGCUGGAGACCGAGCACGAAUGGCUGGCCAAAGCGCUCUACAUCAGAGGUCCCGGUGGGAAAACGGUCCUGACGUCCAAGCUCCGGCUGUGGUGGAACCACCCGAAACGCCGCUUUAUUACACCCAGCCCCCCACCUCCUACAGGGCGUUCUUCCACCAUCGGUUCUUGCUCUGGGUGCCGUAAAAG